rnacentral:rRNA from 1 species
AGUGAUUUUCCGGUUGAUCCUGCCGGAGGUCACUGCUAUCGGGGUUCGAUAAGCCAUGCGAGUUGAGAGGGUUUAGACCCUCGGCGGACUGCUCAGUAACACGUGGAUAACCUGCCCUAAGGUGGAGAUAACCCCGGGAAACUGGGGAUAAUACUCCAUAGAUCAGAGUAACUGGAAUGUUUUCUGGUCGAAAGUUCCGGCGCCUUAGGAUGGAUCUGCGGCCGAUUAGGUAGUUGUUGGGGUAACGGCCCAACAAGCCAGUCAUCGGUACGGGUUGUGGGAGCAAGAGCCCGGAGAUGGAAUCUGAGACACGAUUCCAGGCCCUACGGGGCGCAGCAGGCGCGAAAACUUUACAAUGCAGGAAACUGUGAUAAGGGAACCCCGAGUGCUCGUACACGCGAGCUGUCCAGGUGUGUAAAAAGCAUCUGAAGAAAGGGCCGGGCAAGACCGGUGCCAGCCGCCGCGGUAAUACCGGCGGCUCGAGUGGUGGCCACUAUUAUUGGGCUUAAAGCGUUCGUAGCUGGACUCUUAAGUCUCCUGGGAAAUCCGCCGGCUCAACCGUCGGGCGUCCAGGAGAUACUGGGAGUCUUGGAACCGGAAGAGGUAAGAGGUACUU